rnacentral:misc_RNA from 1 species
AACCAUAGAAACCUGCGGAGUACCUGCGGAAGGAUCAUUACAGAGUUGCAAAACUCCCUAAACCAUUGUGAACGUUACCUAGACCGUUGCUUCGGCGGGCGGCCCGGGUCCUUCCCGGCGCCCAUCGGCCCUCGCGGGCGCCCGCCGGAGGUAAACCAAACUAUUGCAUUGUAUGGCCUCUCUGAGUCUUCUGUACUGAAUAAGUCAAAACUUUCAACAACGGAUCUCAGAUCGGAAGAG